rnacentral:rRNA from 1 species
GUCUACGGCUGCUCCACCCUGAAUGUGCCCCAUCUCAUCUCAUCUGGGAAGCUAAGCAGGGUCUGUCCUGUUUAGUGCUUGGAUGGGAGAAAGGAAGGGGGUUAUGUCA